GUGGGGAAUAUUGGACAAUGGGCGAAAGCCUGAUCCAGCCAUGCCGCGUGUGUGAAGAAGGUCUUCGGAUUGUAAAGCACUUUAAGUUGGGAGGAAGGGCAGUAAGUUAAUACCUUGCUGUUUUGACGUUACCGACAGAAUAAGCACCGGCUAACUUCGUGCCAGCAGCCGCGGUAAUACGAAGGGUGCAAGCGUUAAUCGGAAUUACUGGGCGUAAAGCGCGCGUAGGUGGUUUUGUAAGUUGGAGGUGAAAUCCCCGGGCUCAACCUGGGAACUGCCUCCAAAACUGCAUGACUAGAGUACGGUAGAGGGUAGUGGAAUUUCCUGUGUAGCGGUGAAAUGCGUAGAUAUAGGAAGGAACACCAGUGGCGAAGGCGACUACCUGGACUGAUACUGACACUGAGGUGCGAAAGCGUGGGGAGCAAACAGGAUUAUAAACCCUAGUAGUCC
rnacentral:rRNA from 1 species